rnacentral:lncRNA from 1 species
CGGUGUUUGUGCUGUCAUCUGUUCAGGCAGGAUCACAGAGGGGCUCGUUCAGCCCUCACCCGUCACGGUCUGCUGCGGAUGCUCUGCGGAGCACUUCGUGGUCCUCACAUGGACAUCCUGGCCUGGCUGAUGGACAGGCCUGCUCCGGGCUACCUGGACUGCUUUCUCUCUCUCAGAUGCUUCUAGUAUUUUCCUGCUAAUCAUGGCUUUGGGGUUGAGGUAGAAAUAUUCUAUCAUGUUAGCCACUGAGCAUUCUAGGAUGUAAACGUUAGCAGGUGAACUGAGGAGAAAGCAACAACUUGAAAAAUGACCUCAGGCACAUGGGUGGUUUUUCCUCUCUCAGAUUUGACCCGGGGGUGGCCCUAAUCUGUGGUCCUGUGCAGCCAGCACCAGGGCAACAACUCCAGAGAGGCCUGGGAAACGGGGGCACUGUGGACUAGAGAGGGUUGGGGUUCCCAUUUUUCUCUCUUUGCUGUCACUACUUUUCCUUAAGGGUGAGCCCUGUUUCCUUAAGGGUGGAAGCGUGAGACAGUGCAGGUGGCUAGAGCUCUGGGAGAAACCCAUCUUUCUGGACAGAGAAACCAAGAAAAGGGACCCCAGAAGUGAGAAAAUGCAAGGCAAAUUCCAGCAAGGAGAGUGCUGGAGAAGCAGACCCCCAGAUUCUCUACAUGUGCUGACACACGUCCCUGCCCACCCCACCUGUGAGUGCAGGCAACGACCCAAAACAGCACAGCCAAGGCCAAGGGCUGACCUGGUGGUGGACCUGCUGCUCGUGGAAAGAGAGACAGAACCAGUGGUCAGAACCUAAACCAGGUUGCCUGCUGCUGAAACAAACACAUGAAAUGACACUUACAACGAGGGUGUUAACAACCCAGAGUCUAACCUAACAUUCCACAUGACGAGUGAGGAUUCAACUUGCAGUUACUCAGCACACAACCAGGAAAAUGCAAACAGAAAAGACGAUUUCAGCCCCAAGAUGCUCAAACGUUCAAAUUAUCCCAGAAUUCACUGCAGUCCUAGUUAUAACCAUGCUUCAUGAAGUAAAGGUGAACACUCUUGGAAUGAGUGGAAAACCAGAAGUACCCAGCAGAGAAAUAAAAAGGAACCUAAUGGAAAUUUUAAAACUUAAUUACAGUAUUUGAAAUAAAUUCACUGGGUGAGUUCAGUAGCAGAAUUAAGACGACAGAGGAAAAAAAAUCAGUGAACUUGAAGACGGAGCACCAGAAAUAGCCAAAUCUGAAGGACAGACAGAAAAAAGAAUGAAGAAAGGUGAACAGAGCCUCAGGGACCAGUGGGAAAACAUCAAGAGGUCUAACGUCUGAGUCACUGGAGUCACAGAAGGAGAGGAGAAAGAUCAGUGCAAGAAAAGAAAACUGAAGAAAUAAUGGCAAAAAAAAAAAGUCCUCAAAUUUGGUGAAAGACAAAAACUGCCCAUCUAGGCUGUGGCAGGCCUACUAGGGAAUGGACAAAAAGUUCCGGCACGUUCCACUGGCUGAGGGAGCAUGGGACACGGACAGCUCAGCUGCACGUCCGUAAACCGUCCCUUCCACGGCCACCCUGGGCAUGGGGAGGGGCGGGGGUGUUUGUGGAGAAAAACCAGCACCGCAGAAGUACAAAUUCAAAAAUCUUAAUUUAUUGUAGACUCUUCUCAUUUGUAAUUCCAGUGUUUUGAACAUUAAUAAAUACACGUUCUGUUAAAAA